rnacentral:snoRNA from 1 species
AUCCUCCAGAUUCCUUACACCUCAGAUCUAAAUAUUGGUCAGAAUGGCUAAAAAUGAGAAAAAGUAAGCUGAAGUGGACUUGGUGUAUUAGUGACAUACAAGUUCAUUUCAAACAAAA